CCCUCGUACAUGAUUCUGGACACACUCCGGGAGGAACUAGCACGUCAUCAUAAUGCUGCACUCAACCUGGAGGUCAACCUUAACAUGUGGCUUCCGUUACCCAGUUGUCAAUCCCUGAGUAUCUAAACUCUUAGAUGUUGACCGUUCAAGUUAUGGAGUUUUGCUAAGUUUUUAAGUUGUACCCUAAAAGUCUG